rnacentral:rRNA from 1 species
UUACAACGAAGAGUUUGAUCCUGGCUCAGGAUGAACGCUAGCGGCGGGCUUAACACAUGCAAGUCGAGGGGCAGCAUGAAAUUUAUUUAUUUAGAUUUUGAUGGCGACCGGCGGACGGGUGCGUAACACGUAUGUAACCUACCUUUUUCUAGAAAAUAGCCUGAGGAAACUCGGAUUAAUAUUCUAUAAUACAGUAUUUUCGCAUGAAAAUAUUAUUAAAGCAGAAAUGCGGGAAAAGAUGGGCAUGCGCCCGAUUAGUUAGUUGGUGGGGUAAAGGCCUACCAAGACGAUGAUCGGUAGGGGGCCUGAGAGGGUGAUCCCCCACACUGGUACUGAGAUACGGACCAGACUCCUACGGGAGGCAGCAGUGAGGAAUAUUGGUCAAUGGAGGAAACUCUGAACCAGCCACGCCGCGUGCAGGAAGAAUGCCUUAUGGGUUGUAAACUGCUUUUGUUUAGGAAUAAAAAUUUCUACGUGAUAGAAAUUGUGAAGGUACUAAACGAAUAAGUGUCGGCAAACUCCGUGCCAGCAGCCGCGGUAAUACGGAGGACACAAGCGUUAUCCGGAUUUAUUGGGUUUAAAGAGUGCGUAGGCGGUUUAUUAAGUCAGUAGUGAAAUGUUACAGCUUAACUGUUAAAAUGGCUAAUGAUACUGAUAGACUUGAGUGAGAUUGGAGUAAUUGGAAUGUGUGGUGUAGCGGUGAAAUGCAUAGAGAUCACACAGAACACCGAUCGCGAAAGCAGGUUACUAAAUCUAUACUGACGCUGAGGCACGAAAGCGUGGGGAGCAAACAGGAUUAGAUACCCUGGUAGUCCACGCCGUAAACGAUGAUCACUAGUCGUUGGAUUUUAUUAUUCAGUGGCUAAGCGAAAGUGAUAAGUGAUCCACCUGGGGAGUACGAUCGCAAGGUUGAAACUCAAAGGAAUUGACGGGGGCCCGCACAAGCGGUGGAGCAUGUGGUUUAAUUCGAUGAUACGCGAGGAACCUUACCAAGGUUUAAAUGUACUACGAAUAAGCUAGAAAUAGUUUAGUCUUCGGACGGAGUACAAGAUGCUGCAUGGUUGUCGUCAGCUCGUGCCGUGAGGUGUUGGGUUAAGUCCCUCAACGAGCGCAACCCUCAUUGUUAGUUGCCAACGAAUAAUGUCGGGGACUCUAGCAAGACUGCCGACGUAAGUCGAGAGGAAGGUGGGGACGACGUCAAAUCAUCACCGGCUCUUAUACCUUGGGCUACACACGUGCUACAAUGGUCGGUACAAAGGGUUGCUAUUGAGUAAUCAUAAGCUAAUCUCUAAAAACCGAUCUCAGUUCGGAUUGGAGUCUGCAACUCGACUCUAUGAAGUUGGAAUCGCUAGUAAUCGCAUAUCAGCCAUGAUGCGGUGAAUACGUUCCCGGGCCUUGUACACACCGCCCGUCAAGCCAUGGAAGUCGGGGGGACCUGAAAUUGGUGACCAUAAAAGGAACUGCUUAAGGUAAAAUCGAUAACUGGGGCUAAGUCGUAACAAGGUAGCCGUACCGGAAGGUGUGGCUGGAACAUCUCUUUU